GGAGGGGAGCAAGCGGCCGCGCUUGCCCGCCGCGAGGCGGGCGGUGAGGAAAGUCCGAACACCGCAGGGCGGGAUGCCGGGUAACGCCCGGGCGCCGCGAGGCGACGGAAAGUGCAACAGAAAACAUACCGCCACGCGCGAACGCGCGGGGUAAGGGUGAAAAGGCGAGGUAAGAGCUCACCGCGUGCUCCGCAAGGAGGACGGCAGUGCAAACCCCAUCCGGUGCAAAACCAAGUAGGCAACCGAUCGAGGACGGCCCGUCCGAGGUUGCGGGUAGGUUGCAAGGAGACGUACGGCGACGUGCGUCCAAGAUAAAUGGCCGCAUAAACAGGAUUCGGCUUACGCUCCCCUCCCGCU
rnacentral:RNase_P_RNA from 1 species